AACGAACGCUGGCGGCAUGCCUAACACAUGCAAGUCGAACGAGACCUUCGGGUCUAGUGGCGCACGGGUGCGUAACGCGUGGGAACCUGCCCUUAGGUUCGGAAUAACUCCCCGAAAGGGGUGCUAGUACCGGAUAAUGUCUUCGGACCAAAGAUUUAUCGCCUUUGGAUGGGCCCGCGUUGGAUUAGCUAGUUGGUAGGGUAAAAGCCUACCAAGGCGACGAUCCAUAGCUGGUCUGAGAGGAUGAUCAGCCACACUGGGACUGAGACACGGCCCAGACUCCUACGGGAGGCAGCAGUGGGGAAUAUUGGACAAUGGGCGAAAGCCUGAUCCAGCAAUGCCGCGUGAGUGAUGAAGGCCUUAGGGUUGUAAAGCUCUUUUACCCGGGAUGAUAAUGACAGUACCGGGAGAAUAAGCGCCGGCUAACUCCGUG
rnacentral:rRNA from 1 species